rnacentral:lncRNA from 1 species
CCUAGUGAAGUAACUGAAACACCAGAAGCCCUCUCAAUAUACGCGAAGUCUUACAGAAAGCAGCCCAACUCCAACAGCUCCAGCUUCCCGCUACCUUGUGGCUGACACAAACAAGGCAUGAAGAGAAAACCAACCUCUCCUUUCUGGUUGAUGAUGGGAACAGCGUAUUGUAACUUCACAUCAUAGAAAAGGGACUCGAGGAAGACAUUGGCCACCCCAAUGAGACUGUGAUUUUCCUGCUCAUCAUAGAACGGAUCAGCACGUUUGAAGUACGAUCGUAUUACCUGUAAAGAGAUUGAGAACACACAACUUCAGAAAAAC